rnacentral:rRNA from 1 species
AGGCUUUGCAUGGAAGUGGGGGGAAAACAGUUGGAAACGACUGCUAAUACCGCAUAAUGUCUACGGACCAAAGGCUUGCUUCGGCUCUCGCCUUUAGAUUGGCCCAAGUGGGAUUACCUAGUUGGUGAGGUAAUGGCUCACCAAGGCGACGAUCCCUAGCUGGUUUGAGAGGAUGAUCAGCCACACUGGGACUGAGACACGGCCCAGACUCCUACGGGAGGCAGCAGUGGGGAAUAUUGCACAAUGGGCGCAAGCCUGAUGCAGCCAUGCCGCGUGUGUGAAGAAGGCCUUCGGGUUGUAAAGCACUUUCAGUCAGGAGGAAAGGUUAGUAGUUAAUACCUGCUAGCUGUGACGUUACUGACAGAAGAAGCACCGGCUAACUCCGUGCCAGCAGCCGCGGUAAUACGGAGGGUGCGAGCGUUAAUCGGAAUUACUGGGCGUAAAGCGUACGCAGGCGGUUUGUUAAGCGAGAUGUGAAAGCCCCGGGCUCAACCUGGGAACUGCAUUUCGAACUGGCAAACUAGAGUGUGAUAGAGGGUGGUAGAAUUUCAGGUGUAGCGGUGAAAUGCGUAGAGAUCUGAAGGAAUACCGAUGGCGAAGGCAGCCCACCUGGGGUCAACACUGACGCUCAUUGUACGAAAAGCGUGGGGAGCAAACGGGGAUUAGAUACCCCCGGGUAGUUCCACGCCGUUAAACGAUGUCUACCUAGAAAGCUCGGGAGCCCUCGGGUCCUGUUUUUUCAAAGCUUAACGCCAUUUAAGUAAGACCCGCCUUGGGGAAGUAACGGGCCGCCAGGUUAUAAAACUUCAAAUGAAAUUGACGGGGGCCCCGCACAAAGCCGGUGGA